AUUGAACGCUGGCGGCAUGCUUUACACAUGCAAGUCGAACGGUAACAGGGUGCUUGCACCGCUGACGAGUGGCGAACGGGUGAGUAAUGCGUCGGAACGUGCCGAGUAGUGGGGGAUAACGCAUCGAAAGGUGUGCUAAUACCGCAUACGUACUGAGGUAGAAAGUGGGGGACCUUCGGGCCUCACGCUAUUCGAGCGGCCGACGUCUGAUUAGCUAGUUGGUGAGGUAAAGGCUCACCAAGGCGACGAUCAGUAGCGGGUCUGAGAGGAUGAUCCGCCACCCGGGGAAUGAGAAACGGCCCAGAGUCCUACGGGAGGCAGCAGUGGGGAAUUUUGGACAAUGGGCGCAAGCCUGAUCCAGCCAUGCCGCGUGUCUGAAGAAGGCCUUCGGGUUGUAAAGGACUUUUGUCCGGGAGCAAAUACCCAGUGCUAAUAACGCUGGGGGCUGAGAGUACCGGAAGAAUAAGCACCGGCUAACUACGUGCCAGCCGCCGCAGUAA
rnacentral:rRNA from 1 species